UAUAUUGUCUGGGUUUGUUCUUUCGAGUGCUGUCAAUCCAAUAGGUGCUGUAUUUGAUUUUAACGCUCAGUUGCAGAUUCUGGAAUUAAUUGAUAAUACAAUUUUAACUGCUGGCUACAAGGCUGUCUUGCACAUUCAUGCUAUUGUGGAGGAGUGCGAGAUUGUUGAUCUAUUGGAAGAAAUUGAUCUUAAGAAAAAGAAAGAUGCCGAUCCAAAGAAGAAGAAGAAGAAAAAGCCUCUAUUCGUGAAGAGUGGUGCUGCUGUUGUGUGCCGCAUUCAGGUUAGCAACCUGAUAUGCAUUGAGAAAUUUUCAGAGUAUCCUCAGCUAGGAAGGUUUACUCUUCGGUCGGAAGGCAAAACAAUAGCAAUUGGGAAAGUUAUGGGUCUUACUCUAGCUUAAGUCUGGGCCAUUUCGUCUUCAACAGUUUUGUGAUAAAAUGAAGAAAAUGAUGAAGUGCGAUGAACUGCCAAGCUUUACAUGUAAUGGGUUUCGUAUAGUAUGAAACAUUAUUCAAGUGCAGCUUUGAGGUGCAUACAAAAUUAGCGAGGGUGAGUUGAACAUAGUUAUAACAUUCUAAAUUGUGUUGGUAGUUACUGUGGGCAUGUAGACUUUUUGAUGUGCUAGAAUUCUG
rnacentral:misc_RNA from 1 species